AUAUGGAAGAAAAGAAAGGUAGGGUUAGGAGGUGGCGCGUGCGUGUGGGUUGGAGGCGCCGUCGGCGGAAGGAAAUUUGGUAGGAGCGAAUCAAAAAUCCUAAUCGAUCUCUGGGAUAAAAGCCGAGCGAUCGAUUUCCCCUUUCGUUAUCUUGGCCCAAACGUGUGGUUUCCCCUUGCCUUUUCUGGUCUAGGCGUAUCUGUCGUAUUGGGCUUGGGCCGUCCGCAACUUUCUUCGCAUGGCCCCGUUUCCUGAUUGCUUUUCUAUUUUUCCUUUUUUUUUUAUCAUCCUUAUCAGAAGCGGAAGCGGAAAAAUAUCAAAGAUAAAGUUAUAUCAGAAAUAGCGUUGUUGCGUUUUUGAACGGUGCGUUUCGCUUUUCUCUCCCCACAUUGAUAAUCCCAAAUCCUCUUAUCCCUUUCCGGCGAUUUCAAUUUCUCCAGUGAUUCUCCGACGAUUUUGUCCAACGCUACGAGCUUACUAUGUUGACCAAUUAACUGGAUGCUCCACAGAAAGUCAAUCGUUCUUAAUGAAGCGGAGGAGAGAGUUUCAGAGUUCCACUGUGGGAUUGAAGGUUGCUGAAACUGAGACAGUUGCAAAAAUGUUGAACUGCCCCAUUGGAGUUUUUCCUAUGAAAUAUCUGGGUUUGCCAAUUGGACCUGAGAAGAUUCUUACUCCUAAGUUAAAUUUUCUACUUGAGAGAAUGGAGAAGAGACUGAGUGGAUGGAAUGGUAGGAGUUUGACACAAGCAGGGAGAGCUGUUCAUAUCAAUGCCUGCCUUUCCUCUAUACCUUCUUAUGCAAUGUGAUUCUAUCUUCUUCCUGAGGGGACACAUCAAAGACUACUAGAGGUAGAUAUUACUGGGCUGAAAAUAAACACAAAGGGGAGAAAAUUAUAAGGCAAUACCAUUCUGUUCCACAA